rnacentral:misc_RNA from 1 species
GAUGAAGAACGUAGCGAAAUGCGAUACUUGGUGUGAAUUGCAGAAUCCCGUGAACCAUCGAGUCUUUGAACGCAAGUUGCGCCCGAAGCCAUUAGGCCGAGGGCACGCCUGCCUGGGCGUCACACGUCGUUGCCCCCCCAUCUACUCCUUCGGGAUUGCGGGGGGCGGAUGAUGGCCUCCCGUGCGCCUCGUCGCGCGGUUGGCAUAAAUACCAAGUCCUCGGCGACGCACGCCACGACAAUCGGUGGUUGCGAAACCUCGGUUGCCCGUCGUGUGCGGUCGUCGCGCAUCGAGGGCUCGAAAAAAUUGCCGGGCUCCGGCUCGGCUUUCAACGCGACCCCAGGUCAGGCGGGGUUACCAGCUGAAUUUAAGCAUAUCAAUAAGCGGAGG